rnacentral:rRNA from 1 species
UUGAACGCUGGCGGCAGGCCUAACACAUGCAAGUCGAGCGGUAGCACAGAGAGCUUGCUCUCGGGUGACGAGCGGCGGACGGGUGAGUAAUGUCUGGGAAACUGCCUGAUGGAGGGGGAUAACUACUGGAAACGGUAGCUAAUACCGCAUAAUGUCGCAAGACCAAAGUGGGGGACCUUCGGGCCUCAUGCCAUCAGAUGUGCCCAGAUGGGAUUAGCUAGUAGGUGGGGUAACGGCUCACCUAGGCGACGAUCCCUAGCUGGUCUGAGAGGAUGACCAGCCACACUGGAACUGAGACACGGUCCAGACUCCUACGGGAGGCAGCAGUGGGGAAUAUUGCACAAUGGGCGCAAGCCUGAUGCAGCCAUGCCGCGUGUGUGAAGAAGGCCUUCGGGUUGUAAAGCACUUUCAGCGGGGAGGAAGGCGUUAAGGUUAAUAACCUUGGCGAUUGACGUUACCCGCAGAAGAAGCACCGGCUAACUCCGUGCCAGCAGCCGCGGUAAUACGGAGGGUGCAAGCGUUAAUCGGAAUUACUGGGCGUAAAGCGCACGCAGGCGGUCUGUCAAGUCGGAUGUGAAAUCCCCGGGCUCAACCUGGGAACUGCAUUCGAAACUGGCAGGCUAGAGUCUUGUAGAGGGGGGUAGAAUUCCAGGUGUAGCGGUGAAAUGCGUAGAGAUCUGGAGGAAUACCGGUGGCGAAGGCGGCCCCCUGGACGAAGACUGACGCUCAGGUGCGAAAGCGUGGGGAGCAAACAGGAUUAGAUACCCUGGUAGUCCACGCCGUAAACGAUGUCGACUUGGAGGUUGUGCCCUUGAGGCGUGGCUUCCGGAGCUAACGCGUUAAAUCGACCGCCUGGGGAGUACGGCCGCAAGGUUAAAACUCAAAUGAAUUGACGGGGGCCCGCACAAGCGGUGGAGCAUGUGGUUUAAUUCGAUGCAACGCGAAGAACCUUACCUGGUCUCGACAUCCACAGAACUUUCCAGAGAUGGAUUGGUGCCUUCGGGAACUGUGAGACAGGUGCUGCAUGGCUGUCGUCAGCUCGUGUUGUGAAAUGUUGGGUUAAGUCCCGCAACGAGCGCAACCCUUAUCCUUUGUUGCCAGCGGUCCGGCCGGGAACUCAAAGGAGACUGCCAGUGAUAAACUGGAGGAAGGUGGGGAUGACGUCAAGUCAUCAUGGCCCUUACGACCAGGGCUACACACGUGCUACAAUGGCAUAUACAAAGAGAAGCGACCUCGCGAGAGCAAGCGGACCUCAUAAAGUAUGUCGUAGUCCGGAUUGGAGUCUGCAACUCGACUCCAUGAAGUCGGAAUCGCUAGUAAUCGUAGAUCAGAAUGCUACGGUGAAUACGUUCCCGGGCCUUGUACACACCGCCCGUCACACCAUGGGAGUGGGUUGCAAAAGAAGUAGGUAGCUUAACCUUCGGGAGGGCGCUUACCACUUUGUGAUUCAUGACUGGGGUG